UUCCUCCAAAAAAUACUUUUUUUUUAACACAAAGCAUGCAACAAAAGUGUAAAUUUGCCUUUUAGUGUAUUAGACGUUGAAGCAAUAAAAAAACAAACAUUUUCUGCAACAUUAUAUGCAAUCUGCCAAAUGGUCUUCUUAUUUCUUAAUUCAUAUUUUUCUCUUAAAAAAAGGAUAUUCGUAUUUAAAAUAUAAUCAUGCUAACAACAUACUUCAAGCAAUUUAUUUAGCAUCCACAACAAAGUAACCAAUGCCACGAGCCUCGAAUGCACGAGAGCCACUGCACGAUGCUUAACCACAUCCAUGGAAAGACUAUGGCGCCCUGUUUCUCAACCC
rnacentral:lncRNA from 1 species